CCCUACAAGUCACAUGUUUCCAAUCCAUCCUUCUUUCAUCCCCAUUAUCAAUUGCAAAAAUUCUUCUUUGAAUCAUCAUCAAUAAUACGAAUUCGGUCCGGCGAUUGAUGCGAAGAAUAACGAAAGAAGAUCAAAUUGAUUCAGAUUGAAACCCUAGCCUCCCUCUUUCUUUGGCUUGAAGCUUCUACCAUACGCUUUCCUGAAACCCUAAAGUAUCAUACGCUUCUUCUUCUUGUACCUGCAUCUCAUUCUCUCAGAAUCGCUUGUGCUAUUUCAAAACCCUUAUCUCAGAUUCUUUAAUUACGGCCAUUCCUUUAAGAGAUUUUUUCUCUUUGUUCUGGUUUGCAGUGAAUCAGAUAACUAUUGUUGGCCAAUUGACUAUAAUAAUUUGAGAGCUGGAAAUGGCAUACUAAAGAUACCUGAUAAUGGUUAUGAAAAUCUCAAAGAAAGGAGAAUAAUUCUUUUAGCACUUCCCUGUUAUGAAGCAAAGAGAAGUUGUAAACAAAUAUUUAAAAGUGAUUAAAACAACCGAUUAAGCUGGCCUUCACAUGGCUCACUAUGGACUACUAAAAUUGUUGAACCAAGCCCUUUCGUUUUGUUUGUAUAUAGAAUAGUACCUUAUCCUCAGCUCUAUGGUGUCUAUUUUUUGCAAUUCAUUCAGCCUGAUGGUUUCUUAUUCAUAACAAAACCAAUGACCUAUGUGAAAAGAUGCAGGAAACAAGUCAGAACAGUCUAGGAGGUGAACCAAUUUCUAAUGACUUAAUCUACCUUCAGGUACAUGUAACACUGGUUUAGGUACGUGUAAUAGUUGGUUGAUAAAUGUUAUUUAUCAUAGAUCUAUAGUGGGGACUUUAGUUUGAUUUAGCCCUCAAAAUAGUUUGUUUUAUUAAAUAAGAUUAGGAUUCUAGCAUUAUUUUUUAGCGAAAAGUAGGCAUCCUAGCAGAAAAUAGUCAAAGAGGUCAAAGUUCUUGCAUUCCUAUGGAUUAAAAAUUGAGCAAGAAUGAAUGCACUUGGUUAGGAGGAAUGGAAAACGCUAAAAGUGUAAUGAUACGUUUAGUGGAAUGUAAUAUGUAUGAUGUAAAUACUUUGGUGUUUGGGUUAAGCUUUCGGCUUUCCCUAUAUUAA